rnacentral:rRNA from 1 species
AUUGAACGCUGGCGGCAGGCCUAACACAUGCAAGUCGAGCGGAUGAAGGGAGCUUGCUCCUGGAUUCAGCGGCGGACGGGUGAGUAAUGCCUAGGAAUCUGCCUGGUAGUGGGGGAUAACGUCCGGAAACGGGCGCUAAUACCGCAUACGUCCUGAGGGAGAAAGUGGGGGAUCUUCGGACCUCACGCUAUCAGAUGAGCCUAGGUCGGAUUAGCUAGUUGGUGGGGUAAAGGCCUACCAAGGCGACGAUCCGUAACUGGUCUGAGGGGAUGAUCAGUCACACUGGAACUGAGACACGGUCCAGACUCCUACGGGAGGCAGCAGUGGGGAAUAUUGGACAAUGGGCGAAAGCCUGAUCCAGCCAUGCCGCGUGUGUGAAGAAGGUCUUCGGAUUGUAAAGCACUUUAAGUUGGGAGGAAGGGCAGUAAGUUAAUACCUUGCUGUUUUGACGUUACCAACAGAAUAAGCACCGGCUAACCUCGUG